UUGUGACUGAGCGGCGGACGGGUGAGUAACGCGUGGGUAACCUGCCUCAUACAGGGGGAUAACAGUUAGAAAUGACUGCUAAUACCGCAUAAGACCACAGCACCGCAUGGUGCGGGGGUAAAAACUCCGGUGGUAUGAGAUGGACCCGCGUCUGAUUAGCUAGUUGGUAAGGUAACGGCUUACCAAGGCGACGAUCAGUAGCCGACCUGAGAGGGUGACCGGCCACAUUGGGACUGAGACACGGCCCAAACUCCUACGGGAGGCAGCAGUGGGGAAUAUUGCACAAUGGGGGAAACCCUGAUGCAGCGACGCCGCGUGAGCGAAGAAGUAUUUCGGUAUGUAAAGCUCUAUCAGCAGGGAAGAAAAUGACGGUACCUGACUAAGAAGCACCGGCUAAAUACGUGCCAGCAGCCGCGGUAAUACGUAUGGUGCAAGCGUUAUCCGGAUUUACUGGGUGUAAAGGGAGCGUAGACGGAUGGGCAAGUCUGAUGUGAAAACCCGGGGCUCAACCCCGGGACUGCAUUGGAAACUGUUCAUCUAGAGUGCUGGAGAGGUAAGUGGAAUUCCUAGUGUAGCGGUGAAAUGCGUAGAUAUUAGGAGGAA
rnacentral:rRNA from 1 species